rnacentral:rRNA from 1 species
GAUGAACGCUGGCGGCGUGCCUAAUACAUGCAAGUCGAGCGAACAGACGAGGAGCUUGCUCCUCUGACGUUAGCGGCGGACGGGUGAGUAACACGUGGAUAACCUACCUAUAAGACUGGGAUAACUUCGGGAAACCGGAGCUAAUACCGGAUAAUAUAUUGAACCGCAUGGUUCAAUAGUGAAAGACGGUUUUGCUGUCACUUAUAGAUGGAUCCGCGCCGCAUUAGCUAGUUGGUAAGGUAACGGCUUACCAAGGCAACGAUGCGUAGCCGACCUGAGGGGGUGAUCGGCCACACUGGAACUGAGCCACGGUCCAGACUCCUACGGGAGGCAGCAGUAGGGAAUCUUCCGCAAUGGGCGAAAGCUUGACGGAGCAACGCCGCGUGAGUGAUGAAGGUCUUCGGAUCGUAAAACUCUGUUAUUAGGGAAGAACAAAUGUGUAAGUAACUAUGCACGUCUUGACGGUACCUAAUCAGAAAGCCACGGCUAACUACGUG